ensembl:lncRNA
GGAUGUCGCCUUCGCUGACGGCGGACGACUCCGACGGCGAGGAGAGGCAGAAGAAGAAAAAGAAGAAGAAGAAGAAACAACAACCGGCCGUCCCUGCUGAGACGGAGACGAGCCGCUCGCUCUGUGACGCCGCCGCCGCCGCCAUCCCCCCUCUGACCUGGAGGAAACCCUAACACACACACACACACGCACACGCACGCGCACACACACACACACACACACGCACACGCACGCACACACACGCGCGGUGCUCUGCUCGUCUUUGGUUCUCAGCAGACUUACGGUUGACAUUAUUUUAAAACCAGCAGACGUAAAAUCUUAUUGAGUAAAUUUUAUUUUUUAAAGUGACUAAUUCUGGCCUUAGUGCGCAGCUGCUGCCCUCGUGUGGCCGUCAGCUGUAACUGCACCUCAGCGGAGGUCAAAAUGAACAAAAAGGCGCUUUCAGAAACAUGCAGACGAGAGAGACGCGUUUGUUCUGCAGGCAGAAGCCGAUUAUUUGCACAUUUUUCGUAUUGAUGCCUUUCAGCUGCACAAAGAGUCAGUAACGCACGGAGAGAACGUUUUCACACCAACCGCUCGUCAACCGCUUGAUCCUCCCAGAAUGCUUGUUUUGCACGAAUAGAACUCCUAAAAGUGAAAUAGAACGAUAGUCUGGGAAACAACAAUCUAACACGCCUCCAGCUAUCAAAGCCCAGCUUGCCUUAAACUGACACACGUUAGUCUGUGGAGUCGCCACAUUGGGAAUAAAUACACCCUCUUGUCACAAUGUUCUCUCAACUUAACUAAAGAUCUAUGAAUGUACCUGCUAUCAAAAUGACUGCUAAUUUGAAGGUGAAGUCAAAUGAUUAUUUCCUGUUAACUGUUUAUUAGAAGGAGACAUCACCACUGAAAGUUCCUAAAUAAAUGCUGCUGAUCUAUUGUGACAGUGGCAUUGAAAUCGCUUUCUUUUAUAGACCAAAGGUGGGCUGUGAUGAUGAUUAUUCUCACUGAAUUCUGUAAUUAUUUUUCUAUGAAAUGGAAAAGGCAAUAAGAUGCAUGUUGGGCUUUUCAUGCUUUAAUAUUGCUGAUUCUUUUCUGUUCAUGACCGUUUAACUUAAAACUAAAAUCCACUUUUUAGGGGAAAAAAGUGGAUUUUAGUUUUGAGAACUUGAAGAGCUGCACAACUGAGGCGUAUUUUCGUCUCCAAAGUAAAAAAUGGACGGCAUCAAUCAGGAGCUGACCUCCACGUUAGCAUCAGUGCUAAUCCACGACGUCGUGGCCCGAGAGUCCCACGUUUCAAUCAAAUAUCAGAAGGGAUCUUGAGACCGUUGACAACAGACACUUUAGGGAAUUUUAUUUUUAUUUUACUAACAGUGACCUAUUUUAAGUAUGUACAGUUUGUAACUGCUAAAUAUUGUAUUUAAUGUACAUAAAACAGCUGUGUAUAAUCCUGUGAUGUCAAUUAAUUUAUACCUUUUUACCAUAAUUGCUGUUGCUAUUAAAUCAGAUCUCUUAGUGUGAGAAUAAAUCCGCCUCAGCGAUGAUCACGUGUACGUUAGUGAAUAAAAGUCUGCUCAACCUGCCACGUCCUCCACAGAAAUACUUCUUCAAUGAGCUGAACUCCUCCAGAUGUUUCCCAGUGCAGAACAAAGUCGCUUCGGGACACUGAACCCGCCGACUGAUCAGAGAGCAGAAAGUAAUCCAGCGUCAACGACCCUCUCUAUUCUGGAGAGAGACGUUAACCGGCUCUUUAGAAGACUAAAUCCCCGUAAGGCAGCCGGCCCGGACUCCGUCUCCCCUCACUCCCUGAAGCAUUGUGCUGACCAGCUGUCUCCGGUGUUCACUGACAUCUUCAACACCUCCCUGGAGACCUGCCACGUACCAGCCUGCUUCAAGGCCUCCACCAUCAUCCCUGUCCCCAAGAAGCCCAGGAUCACAGGACUCAAUGACUACAGGCCCGUCGCCCUGACCUCUGUAGUCAUGAAGUCUUUUGAACGGCUAGUCCUGACCCACCUGAAGUCCCUCAC